UACGUAGGGUGCGAGCGUUAAUCGGAAUUACUGGGCGUAAAGCGUGCGCAGGCGGUCUGUUAAGACCGAUGUGAAAUCCCCGGGCUUAACCUGGGAACUGCAUUGGUGACUGGCAGGCUUUGAGUGUGGCAGAGGGAGGUAGAAUUCCACGUGUAGCAGUGAAAUGCGUAGAGAUGUGGAGGAAUACCGAUGGCGAAGGCAGCCUCCUGGGCCAACACUGACGCUCAUGCACGAAAGCGUGGGGAGCAACAGGG
rnacentral:rRNA from 1 species